GAUAGAGGGUGCAAACGUUGUUCGGAAUUACUGGGCGUAAAGCGCGUGUAGGCUGUCUCGCAAGUCGGGUGUGAAAGCCCUGGGCUCAACCUAGGAAGUGCACUCGAAACUGCGAGACCUGAGUCCUGGAGAGGAAGGCGGAAUUCUCGGUGUAGAGGUGAAAUUCGUAGAUAUCGAGAGGAACACCGGUGGCGAAGGCGGCCUUCUGGACAGUGACUGACGCUGAGACGCGAAAGCGUGGGGAGCAAACAGG
rnacentral:rRNA from 1 species